GACGAACGCUGGCGGCGUGCUUUACACAUGCAAGUCGAACGGUGAAGGGGGAGCUUGCUCCGCCGGAUCAGUGGCGAACGGGUGAGAAACACGGGGGCAACCUGCCCCUAACGUUGGGAUAUCUCCUCGAAAGAGUAGCUUAUACCGGAUAUGAAGUCUGGAGGCAUAAGUGGAUUUGGACAGUUUUUGGGUUAGGGAGGGGACCGCGGGCUAUCGGCUUGUUGGUGAGGUAGUGGCUCAGCAAGGCGACGACGGGUAGCCGGCUUGAGAGGGGGACCGGCCACACUGGGACUGAGACACGGCCCAGACUCCUACGGGAGGCAGCAGUGGGGAAUAUUGCGCAAUGGUCGAAAGCCUGACGCAGCAACGCCGCGUGCGGGAUGAAGGCCUUCGGGUUGUAAACCGCUUUCAGCAGGGGAGAAGCGAAAGUGACGGUACCUGCAGAAGAAGCACCGGCUAACUACGUGCCAGCCGCCGCCGUAA
rnacentral:rRNA from 1 species